rnacentral:rRNA from 1 species
GAGUUUGAUUAUGGCUCAGGACGAACGCUGGCGGCGUGCGUAACACAUGCAAGUUGAACGACGGUGCCAUGAAGUGGUAACACGGAGUGGUAUACGGAGUAACGGACGGGUGAGUACAACAUGAGAAGCUGUCCAAUAGUGGGGGAUAACGUUCGGAAACGGACCCUAAUACCCCAUAGGCCUUUUGGUUAAAGCAGCGAUGCGCUAUUGGAGGUGCUCGUGUCCUAUCAGCUGGUUGGUGAGGUAACGGCUCACCAAGGCGACGACGGGUAGCCGGCCUGAGAGGGUGUCCGGCCACACUGGAACUGAGAUACGGUCCAGACUCCUACGGGAGGCAGCAGUGGGGAAUAUUGGGCAAUGGGAGAAAUCCUGACCCCAGCGACGCCGCGUGAACGAAGAAGGCCUUCGGGUCGUAAAGUUCUUUUAUGUGGGAAGAAGGAAAGUGA